CACGUAGGGCGCGAGCGUUGUCCGGAAUUACUGGGCGUAAAGCGCGCGCAGGCGGUCUUCCAAGUCAGUGGUGAAAGCCCGGAGCUCAACUCCGGAACUGCCAUUGAAACUGUAAGACUUGAGGACGAGAGAGGUGAGUGGAAUUCCCAGUGUAGAGGUGAAAUUCGUAGAUAUUGGGAAGAACACCAGUGGCGAAGGCGGCUCACUGGCUCGUAUCUGACGCUCAGGCGCGACAGCGUGGGGAUCAAACAGG
rnacentral:rRNA from 1 species